UCUUGGUCNAUUAGAGGAAGUAAAAGUCGUAACAAGGUUUCCGUAGGUGAACCUGCGGAAGGAUCAUUAUUGAUGUCAUGUGGGAUAUAUUACAAACGCUAGUGUUGUCAAUGAAUGAUGUUAUACAUAAUGCAAUAACUUUUAGCAACGGAUCUCUUGGCUCUCGCAUCGAUGAAGAACGCAGCGAAAUGCGAUAAGUAAUGUGAAUUGCAGAAUUCAGUGAAUCAUCGAAUCUUUGAACGCACCUUGCGCCCUUUGGGUUUACCCUGGGCAUGCUGGAUUGUGAGCGCCUUAUACAUCUUGCCUACGGCAGAGUUGAGCGUGUUGCCGGCUUGCCGGCUCGCUCUGAAUGCAUGAGCGACCCUAUGCUCGAAGCAACGUGAUAAGUAUUUCGUUGUGGAGAGAGUAAGGACGCUUCGAAUCGUCCCUUGGACACUUUCGAAUGCGAGG
rnacentral:rRNA from 1 species